rnacentral:lncRNA from 1 species
AGGGGUAUUUGCAAGAAAUGUCUUGCAAGUGUCAAGAACACACCUUUCGAAGGUGUUGUAAAUUGUUCUAGAAAAGUUCAAAACAGUUGGUUCUUCUACUUGAAUGCUUGAUUCCGUAUUAGUAACUAUGUUUUGCAAUCGUUGUAAAAGUGUGGCUAAUAAAAGGUAGAAGAUUUAUGAGAGAAGAGAAAGUACUUCACAUUCGGAACGUGAAUCAAAUGUAGAUCUCUACGAAAGCAGAUGGUACUUACUUCCUCAUAUGAACUACCAAAGAAAUUGGAAAAACCAAAGAUUGUCUUUACAUUCCAAUUUUAAGGAACUUAAUUCCAUCACUAUAAGGGAUGGAUGAAUGUUUUGUUUGACAAAACAUUGUUAUUUAUUAAUGAAUGAUUAGAUUAUUGUAAUCUAAUUGAUUGUCUCUAUAGUAGAGAUGAUAUGGUAGAGUUAACUAUUUAGAAUAUAACGAUACUUAAAACCCAAAAGGUUGCAAGGUGGUGACUAAUCCCAACUGAGUUGUGAUACCUCUAAAACAUAAAUUACGAGUUGGUCAUAGAUGGAUGCUUUGGAUCGUUAGAUCCGGAUCCAAUACCUUCUUAUUAAAAUUGUAUAGAGGCAAAAUGUUCGAAUCUUUAUUCUUUUGGAAAGGAAGAAAGAAUCACAAAGUUGUUGAGGUUAAUUCACUUAGAUGUUAGUGGCACUUGUCCACAACAUAAUACUACUCAUGUUGUAUGACAUUCACCGAAGAUCACUCUCGGUUGGACUAUAAUUUAUUUUGAAUAAACACAAGUCCGAAUACUUUGCAAAAGGUUUCAAAGAAUUCAAGAAAUGUAAGUUGAUGAGUAAGAUGUCUAAAGGUAACACUUUAGAACAGUUUUCUUGAAAGAUAUCAAGGAAAGAAGUAUCAUAAGAUAAUGGAUUUCUCCAUUAAGAGAAGAACGAACUCGAAAUAAGAUUUAGUGCGUUGGAUGUUAUCAAUUGCCCAUAUAUAGGAUAUAUACUUCUAAGACAAUAUGAUUGUCAAUUAGAAGAUCUUCCAAAAUUUUCAUGACUCCAUAGGAUGUAGUUGGAAAGAAAGACAAGUCUUAAUCAUGUUAAGAUUUGGGGUUGUGUGCUAAUAAGCAAUAUUUGUUUAAAGAAUUAUAUAGUGGGUAUCCUUAAAUUAACAUUUGGAUAUCACUUCUAUAAACCAACUAACAAAUGUUGUUUGUUGGGUAGUUCAUUGUAAUCCUACAAUAUGAUUUGCCUAACGCAAAUGAACGAGAGAUAGAACUCAAAGAAUGGGUUCUUCGAGAAACAAGAUAGUGAUCAACAAAUAUAACAACCUAGUUCCUAUACCACAAGCUCCAAGGUAGUCGAGAAGGAUUUAUAAACCGUCUCAGUUGAAUGGUUUGAACUUUAUGACUAUGUCAUAGAGUUGCACCUCUUAAUUCGAAGAAAUAAGAAUGAAAAUCCUUAUGAUUACAUUGAGUGUAUAUACGAUAUAUACUCAAGGAAAUGGUAAAGUACCAUUUGACCCGAAAUAAUGAAACCUCCAUAGCUAAUUGGUAGCUUAAGGUGACUACAAUUAAAGAGAUUGGUUGACUUGGAAGAAACCAUCUUUGACGUUGUCUUGGUUUCAAUUAAUUCGAAGAUUGCUAGCUACAACUAAAUGGUGAUUCAAUGUUUGGACAUAAUAUAGGUUUCCGAAACCAUUAUUAAGAUAGUCUUGAUAAUAUAUGUCUAAAACUGUGAAUCACAAGACAUGUAAGUUGUAGAGAUCCAACCAUCAUGGAUCUUAGCAAGCUAGUGGGAGUUAUAAGCGUCUUAUGAGAGAAAGAUCAAAUCGUUUGAUUUCUCAUAAAGAUGUAAAUGAAUCUUUUGUUUACUAAGUUUACAAAAGAUUAGUGGGAGUUAAUCAUAUUCCUAAAAUUGAAUAUAUAUGAUAUAUUAAUUUUGGAAAUGAAAAGAAUACUUCUUCGUUAAACUUAUGACUUUAAACAUUCUAUAACGAUAGAAUGUAUAUGGGAGAUAUAGUCUAAAUACAUGGGAUAGAAAUCUAUAAUGAUAUAUUUCAAGAUAUAAUUGGAUUAUAUCAAUCCCUAAUAAUAGACAAAAGAUGCUAGGAAGUUUCUGAUAUGAUGAUAAACUUCAAUUAGAAGGACGACUCUAGUGAGACUAGCAAGUUGCCCUUCUCAAAGGGAACGUACCCUUUGACUCCCAAAGAAAUAAUGCGUAAAUAGAAUCCUUUAUGCAUACGUAGAAAGGUGAUUUAUGUAUUUCAUAUUGUAUGAAAACAUUGAUAUGAGUUGUACCUAGAAAGGUACAAGACGAUAUCAGUGCAAGCCCAGGAUCAGAGCCAUGGCAACUGUCAAGUGAGUCCUUGAGUAUUUAAGAAAUACUAAAGGAUAGAUUCCUCAAAGAAUGAGGAAGAAUUAGAGUAACGAAAUGGAAGCGUAAAUGUAUUAUAUUAUGAAUCUAAUCCAUCAUUGGAUGUUUCUUCAUUAUGAAUGAAGAGAUAAUCAGAUAUCUCUUUAUUAUGACUAAAAGAGAUAUUUGGAUGGAAACAUUAAAAGUAAUGACUUUAGUGUGUUCCAUUGUGAAUGCAAAAUAUAUUGCUAUAUAGAAGCUUACAACAAUGUUGUUUGGAUGGGAAAGUUCAUUUAUGAACUCUUUAUUCGGUUCCAACCAGAAAGUGUCUCUAGUGUACUGACACUACGACAUUAAUGGGGCGAUAGCUCAAGCCAGGGAAUCAAGGUCUCAUCACGAUCCGAACUCAAAUGAGAGACUGAACCACAUGAUUGAGAAUCAUGUAUAAUGGUGAUGUCAUUAUUCUCAAGGUUGCUUCUAUGGAGAACACAUAGAUAUCCAUUGUCUCUAGUGCAAGUGGGAGAUUGUUGGAAAUGUGCCCUAAAACCAAUCAUAUGAUGAUAGUUUACGGACAUUUCACAUGUUAAACUAAUCUAGUUUAAUAUCAAGGGCAAAGAUUAUUGUUUUAAGCCGUCUCAUAUAAAUGUUAUAUGCUUAAACGAUAAGUCCAAGGAAUAUGUAAUUAGGAGAAUGUAAUUUAAACAAGUUAGAUUUAUGAGACCAUUCUCUUUCGUAUAUACAUAUCCUAAACGUUCCUGAUCAUAGGAUUGCCAAUUGGGCAUUGACAGUCCGUUAAGAUCAGUACGUGCUGUGCCUUCUCUCAGGGAGAGUGACUGGUCUCGAGUCAUUGGUAUGACUGACACCAAGACAAGUACGUAGGUGCUCAAUAAGGAAUGAGUUCAUUGAACACGAUCAACGAAGAGUUCUCAUACUCAUGUCACAUAAGAACUCAUGGUUGGGAUAAUGCAAAGUAGUCCUUUGACCUGAGGCAUCAUAGUUGUCUGUGUGCUUAGGUCUUUGAUCUUUGAUUAUGUCAAAGUCACUCAAUUCGCGGGUGUCCAUGGCAUAGUUGGGGUUAAGCCACUUAGCCGUGGAGGCAAGUGAAUGCGCAACAAGGGAUCUCUAACCUUCAAACCGUUUGAGGAAGAAUACUCUAUGAUAUGAUUAAGAAUCUCUGGCCAGAGUAUGAAUGAGAUUUAGGAAGUCGUUCCAAAUCACA